AAAUUGAAGAGUUUGAUCAUGGCUCAGAUUGAACGCUGGCGGCAGGCCUAACACAUGCAAGUCGAGCGGUAGCACAGAGAGCUUGCUCUCGGGUGACGAGCGGCGGACGGGUGAGUAAUGUCUGGGAAACUGCCUGAUGGAGGGGGAUAACUACUGGAAACGGUAGCUAAUACCGCAUAAUGUCGCAAGACCAAAGUGGGGGACCUUCGGGCCUCAUGCCAUCAGAUGUGCCCAGAUGGGAUUAGCUAGUAGGUGGGGUAACGGCUCACCUAGGCGACGAUCCUAGCUGGUCUGAGAGGAUGACCAGCCACACUGGAACUGAGACACGGUCCAGACUCCUACGGGAGGCAGCAGUGGGGAAUAUUGCACAAUGGGCGCAAGCCUGAUGCAGCCAUGCCGCGUGUGUGAAGAAGGCCUUCGGGUUGUAAAGCACUUUCAGCGGGGAGGAAGGCGGUGAGGUUAAUAACCUCAUCGAUUGACGUUACCCGCAGAAGAAGCACCGGCUAACUCCGUGCCAGCAGCCGCGGUAAUACGGAGGGUGCAAGCGUUAAUCGGAAUUACUGGGCGUAAAGCGCACGCAGGCGGUCUGUCAAGUCGGAUGUGAAAUCCCCGGGCUCAACCUGGGAACUGCAUUCGAAACUGGCAGGCUAGAGUCUUGUAGAGGGGGGUAGAAUUCCAGGUGUAGCGGUGAAAUGCGUAGAGAUCUGGAGGAAUACCGGUGGCGAAGGCGGCCCCCUGGACAAAGACUGACGCUCAGGUGCGAAAGCGUGGGGAGCAAACAGGAUUAGAUACCCUGGUAGUCCACGCCGUAAACGAUGUCGAUUUGGAGGUUGUGCCCUUGAGGCGUGGCUUCCGGAGCUAACGCGUUAAAUCGACCGCACGGGAGUACGGCCGCAAGGUUAAAACUCAAAUGAAUUGACGGGGCCCGCACAAGCGGUGGAGCAUGUGGUUUAAUUCGAUGCAACGCGAAGAACCUUACCUGGUCUUGACAUCCACAGAACUUUCCAGAGAUGGAUUGGUGCCUUCGGGAACUGUGAGACAGGUGCUGCAUGGCUGUCGUCAGCUCGUGUUGUGAAAUGUUGGGUUAAGUCCCGCAACGAGCGCAACCCUUAUCCUUUGUUGCCAGCGGUCCGGCCGGGAACUCAAAGGAGACUGCCAGUGAUAAACUGGAGGAAGGUGGGGAUGACGUCAAGUCAUCAUGGCCCUUACGACCAGGGCUACACACGUGCUACAAUGGCAUAUACAAAGAGAAGCGACCUCGCGAGAGCAAGCGGACCUCAUAAAGUAUGUCGUAGUCCGGAUUGGAGUCUGCAACUCGACUCCAUGAAGUCGGAAUCGCUAGUAAUCGUAGAUCAGAAUGCUACGGUGAAUACGUUCCCGGGCCUUGUACACACCGCCCGUCACACCAUGGGAGUGGGUUGCAAAAGAAGUAGGUAGCUUAACCUUCGGGAGGGCGCUUACCACUUUGUGAUUCAUGACUGGGGUGAAGUCGUAACAAGGUAACCGUAGGGGAACCUGCGGUUGGAUCACCUCCUUACCUUAAAGAA
rnacentral:rRNA from 1 species